CUGGGCACAAAAAAGCCUGUGCUAAAAAAAGAUAAGCAGAGGGUAGAUUACAUUUUGGGGUGGUAUAACUAGGGGCUUGGAGUCUUCAGUCACUCAGGAAUAUUUAGUCACUUGGAGAGUGAUUGGGCUACCUUUUUCCUAUAUUGGGUAGAGUGUUAUUUCUUUUAGCCCCUUAAGGACCAAACUUCUGGAAUAAAAGGGAAUCAUGACAUGUCACACAUGGCAUGUGUCCUUAAGGUGUUAAAUAUAGCCAGAUCAAUACGAUACAGUCUUACCCAAUGGAUAUUUUGAUCAUGUGACAUGGUAUCCUAGGCCCAAGUAUCAUUGCAAUACGAAGCAAUGAAACCCACUAGAUUAUCACUAGUAUUACCCUUCCUCCCAAUGACCUAGGGAGUUGGAGGAAGGCAUUGGGGUCAUUCUUCAGAUUAGUAAAAAUUACCCUCCAUCCCCACCACACACAGUACAGAAAGGCAUAGAGGCAUUCAUUUAGGUUGAAAUGACCAUCUAAGAUUGAUG